CCCUUCGGGGUACACGAGCGGCGAACGGGUGAGUAACACGUGGGUGAUCUGCCCUGCACUUCGGGAUAAGCCUGGGAAACUGGGUCUAAUACCGGAUAUGACCAAGAGUCGCAUGGUUUUUGGUGGAAAGGUUUACUGGUGCAGGAUGGGCCCGCGGCCUAUCAGCUUGUUGGUGGGGUAAUGGCCUACCAAGGCGACGACGGGUAGCCGACCUGAGAGGGUGACCGGCCACACUGGGACUGAGACACGGCCCAGACUCCUACGGGAGGCAGCAGUGGGGAAUAUUGCACAAUGGGCGAAAGCCUGAUGCAGCGACGCCGCGUGAGGGAUGACGGCCUUCGGGUUGUAAACCUCUUUCAGCAGGGACGAAGCGAGAGUGACGGUACCUGCAGAAGAAGCACCGGCUAACUACGUGCCAGCAGCCGCGGUAAUACGUAGGGUGCAAGCGUUGUCCGGAAUUACU
rnacentral:rRNA from 1 species